UUCCUGGAGUUUUGUCAGGACAGAACACAGACCACACACCAUGGAGUUUUGUCUCAGCUGGGUUUUUCUUGUUGCUGUUUUAACAGGUGUCCAGUGUGAAGUGCAGCUGGUGGAGUCUGGGGGAGGCUUGGUGAAGCCUGGGGGUCUCUGAGACUCUCCUGUGCCGCCUCUGGAUUCACCUUCAGUAGCUACUGGAUGAGCUGGGUCCGCCAGGCACCAGGGAAGGGACUGGAGUGGCUUGCAUACAUUACUCAUAGCGGUGGUAGCACACACUACACCACCUCUGUGAAGGGCUGAUUCACCAUCUCCAGAGAUAACGCCAAGAACGAGCUCUACCUGCAAAUGAACAAUGUGAGAGCUGAGGACACGGCCCUGUAUUACUGUGCGAGAGACACAUACUGGAUUAG